rnacentral:rRNA from 1 species
CGGCUAAUACGUGCCAGCAGCAGCGGUAAUACGUAGGUGGCAAGCGUUUUCCGGAAUUAUUGGGCGUAAAGCGCGCGUAGGCGGUUUUUUAAGUCUGAUGUGAAAGCCCCCGGCUCAACCGUGGGGGGUCAUUNGAAACUGGAAAACUUGAGUGCAGAAGAGGAAAGUGGAAUUCCAUGUGUAGCGGUGAAAUGCGCAGAGAUAUGGAGGAACACCAGUGGCGAAGGGGACUUUCUGGUCUGUAACUGACGCUGAUGUGCGAAAGCGUGGGGAUCAAACAGGAUUAGAUACCCUGGUAGUCCACCCCCGUAAAACGAUGAGUGCUAAGUGUUAGGGGGGUUUCCGCCCCCUUAGUGCUGCACGCUAAGCGCAUUAAGCACUCCCGCCCUGGGGAGU